AGAAGGAAGAGAGCUCUGGAGAGAGAAAAAAGGGGAGUCAGGCUGUGUCACCCACAGGGAGCAGGGUAGGCUCCUGGGGGCUGUGAGAUAGGGCUCAUAAUGAGCAGUGAGCUCCUCAGAGCUAAACUACUGGAGUUGUUGGGAAGUAGUGGGGGAAUCCUGCUGGGGAAGAAGUGGUGUAAGAAAAUCUCUGCAGGGACCAGGAAGCAGCGGAUUUCAGUCAAGCCUGAGAAGGGCAGAAGAACUCAAUCUCAACAGCAAACCAAACACUAAAUGGGGCCUGGAGACUUAACUCCCUAGAACUGCUACUUCCAGGUGAAAUGUAAACCCUGGAUGUGACUCCUUUUUUUUUUUUUUCCCCAAAUCAUCAUUCAGAGCUGGAAGAUCAUCUUUCAUGGUCAUAUAUGUAUCAAGAACUUUUUCAUUCAUAAGAAGCAAAAUAAAUAGCUGCUCUGUCUCUUACCCAUAGGAUCUCACCUCCUGAUCCUUGAACUACUAGAGGCGUUAGCAGUUCAAAUGAA